GACGAACGCUGGCGGCGUGCUUAACACAUGCAAGUCGAACGGAAAGGCCCUGCUUUUGUGGUGGGCUCGAGUGGCGAACGGGUGAGUAACACGUGAGUAACCUGCCCUUGACUUUGGGAUAACUUCAGGAAACUGGGGCUAAUACCGGAUAGGAGCUCCUGCUGCAUGGUGGGUGUUGGAAAGUUUCGGCGGUUGGGGAUGGACUCGCGGCUUAUCAGCUUGUUGGUGGGGUAGUGGCUUACCAAGGCAUUGACGGGUAGCCGGCCUGAGAGGGUUACCGGCCACAUUGGGACUGAGAUACGGCCCAGACUCCUACGGGAGGCAGCAGUGGGGAAUAUUGCACAAUGGGCGGAAGCCUGAUGCAGCAACGCCGCGUGCGGGAUGACGGCCUGCGGGUUGUAAACCGCUUUCGCCUGUGACGAAGCGUGAGUGACGGUAAUGGGUAAAGAAGCACCGGCUAACUACGUG
rnacentral:rRNA from 1 species